rnacentral:rRNA from 1 species
ACGUAGGGGGCAAGCGUUGUCCGGAAUGAUUGGGCGUAAAGGGCGCGUAGGCGGCCUGGUAAGUCUGGAGUGAAAGUCCUGCUUUUAAGGUGGGAAUUGCUUUGGAUACUGUCGGGCUUGAGUGCAGGAGAGGUAAGUGGAAUUCCCGGUGUACCUGUGAUAUGCGUUGAGAUCGGGAUGAGCCCCGAUGGCGAAGGCACCUUACUGGACUGUAUCUCACGCUGAUGCGCGUAACUGUCUGCAACAAACAU